AAGUUGUAACAAGGUUUCUGUAGGUAAACCUACAAAAGGAUUAUUACCUUUCUAGCUAUUUAAUAGCUUGUCUAGAGGCUAUAGUUUCUAUAGUCUCUAACUAUAUCUAUGUUUUUUGCGUACUAUAUGUUUCCUUAGCAGGCUUGCUUGCUAGUUAGACAAACUAAAACUCUUUGCAAUUACAAUUAGCGUCUAAAUUAUAUAAUAAUUACAA
rnacentral:misc_RNA from 1 species